AUUGAACUCUGGCGGCAGGCCUAACACAUGCAAGUCGGGCUAGCGGCGGACUGGUGAGUAAUGUAUGCGGAUCUGCCUUAUGGCUGGGGAUAACUACUGGAAACGGUAGCUAAUACCGCCUCCCAUCAGAUGAACCCAUAUGGGAUUAUCUUGUAGGUGAGGUAACGGCUCACCUAGGCGACGAUCCCUAGCUGGUCUGAGAGGAUGAUCAGCGAAACUGGGACUGAGACAAGGCCCAGACUCCUACGGGAGGCAGCAGUGGGGAAUAUUGCAAAAUGGGGGCAAGCCUGAGGAAGGCAUGCUGCGUGUAUGAAGAAGGCAGUCGGGUCGUAAAGUAGUUGCAGUCGGGCGGCGUUAACGACAGAAGAAGAACCGGCUAACUCCGGACAAGCAGCCGCGGUAAUAC
rnacentral:rRNA from 1 species